GACGAACGCUGGCGGCGUGCCUAAUACAUGCAAGUUGAGCGAUGAAGCUUGGUGCUUGCACCAAUUUGAAGAGCAGCGAACGGGUGAGUAACGCGUGGGGAAUCUGCCUUUGAGCGGGGGACAACAUUUGGAGACGAAUGCUAAUACCGCAUAACAACUUUAAACAUAAGUUUUAAGUUUGAAAGAUGCAAUUGCAUCACUCAAAGAUGAUCCCGCGUUGUAUUAGCUAGUUGGUGAGGUAAAGGCUCACCAAGGCGAUGAUACAUAGCCGACCUGAGAGGGUGAUCGGCCACAUUGGGACUGAGACACGGCCCAAACUCCUACGGGAGGCAGCAGUAGGGAAUCUUCGGCAAUGGACGAAAGUCUGACCGAGCAACGCCGCGUGAGUGAAGAAGGUUUUCGGAUCGUAAAACUCUGUUGGUAGAGAAGAACGUUGGUGAGAGUGGAAAGCUCAUCAAGUGACGGUAACUACCCAGAAAGGGACGGCUAACUACGUG
rnacentral:rRNA from 1 species